rnacentral:rRNA from 1 species
AUACGGAGGGUGCAAGCGUUACUCGGAAUCACUGGGCGUAAAGCGCGCGCAGGCGGCUAUUUAAGUUGGAUGUGAAAGCCUACGGCUCAACCGUAGAACUGCAUCCAAAACUAUUUAGCUAGAGUGUGGGAGAGGAAGAUGGAAUUAGUUGUGUAGGGGUAAAAUCCGUAGAGAUAACUAGGAAUACCAAAAGCGAAGGCAAUCUUCUGGAACACUACUGACGCUAAGGCGCGAAAGCGUGGGGAGCAAACAGGAUUAGAAACCCUAGUAGUCC